CUAAGGCCAUCUCUCUCUCUGGUAUGGUAAUACCCAUUCGCUGUCUGCUCGCUGCUCUUUGUCAGGACUAGACGCUCGGUUACAGUUCAUAAAUUCAGCGAAUUAUGAGCCGUAACGCUGCGACUCCUGAGCGGAAGCGCGACCAUUGCAACGGCCAUGGCCAGAAGGCCAGGCAGCCAACAGAAUUUAUAACAGCAAAGCAGGAGAAGGGAAUCUGGCAGCCAUAAGUCUUGCAGAACACUCUCGUGCUGCCCACCUUGUACGGCAUUAUAAUGUUAUGCAAUAUGUAUCUCUCUGUUGGGGCGGGGCGUGGUGGUGCGGCUAGCCACAACAAGUUGCCGUCAUAAAUUCGGGUUUUGUGUUUA